CACGUAGGGGGCAAGCGUUGUCCGGAUUUAUUGGGCGUAAAGAGCUCGUAGGCGGCUUGAUAAGUCGGAUGUGAAACCUCCAGGCUCAACCUGGAGUCGCCAUCCGAUACUGUCAUAGCUAGAGUCCGGUAGGGGCCCACGGAACUCCUGGUGUAGCCGGUGAAAUGCGCAGAUAUACAGGAAGAACACCGAUGGCGAAGGCAGUG
rnacentral:rRNA from 1 species